rnacentral:lncRNA from 1 species
AUGUCCUCCGAUGCUGCAAGGGGGAGAGAGCUUUUACAACAGCUGUCGCCUGCAUGGCUGCCUUUGCGGUGGGGGUCCACAUGUGGGGCAGGGAGAAGGCCUCCAGUCGUGGCUGAGAGAGAGAGAGAGAGCGGUGGCUUCGGUCGCUCCCCCCCGCUUUGGCAAUCCCUUGCACCUGUAUUCCAACAACCAGCUGUUGCGCCUGCGCAUGCGCGGGAAGGCUGGCAAGAUCCAGCCCUCCCAGCAGCGAUUGCUAGGAAUUUGAAUGAAGAGUGGUCCUCUCCCGCUGCUGCUGCCGCUGCCAUCUUCCUCCUCCUCCUCCUCCCCCUCCCCUCCUGCUGGAUCCCUGGUUGGGAUGCAAAACCUGAACUUGGAGAAGCAGCAUCUCUCGCGAAGAACCAGGUUUAUAAAGAAGUGGCUACUACCUAA